AUGAUGGGAACAUGUCUUUGUCUGAAUUACAGCUGUAACGACCCUUUGGGAAGAACUUGGUUAAGCUUCUCUAGUAUCCGUGAGUUAUUUACGUGAGUUAACAUUAGAACCUAAAAGAUGGCGGCGUCGGCAGGGUUCACCACGAUAUGGAGUCAAACCAAAGAGUCCAGAUCAGUAGAGCAGAGCUGGCAACAACCAAGGUUAUCAUGGACCACAAACAGUGUGUGUGAACCUCAAAACCCUCCCUAACCGGCUGAAGAAAGAACCACGAAGGCCGUGCAAUGUGACAGUGAUUUCUAUCACUUCUAUCUGAGUCUGAGCCAUAAAACCGGGGCGGUAGUGCUGAGAGCGCGAGUGGAGUGAGAGAACGGCUCAGGUGAAAGCAGAGAUAAUCGAGGGCCCGGGCUGAAAUCUGGAGAUUGAAUGUACAUCAAGAUACACCAGGCGGGGGUGUUGGGACAGCGUUGGUUUGGUCCACACACACUACUCCUUACAGCACCUGCAGCGGUAAAGAUCGUCAUGUCUCUCCUCAGUGGGUGCAUAGUUCUCACGUGAAGUGAGGUCCAGCUGCAUAAUGGGUGAGCUUGAAGACACCAUGACAGAGAAAGCGGAGCGAAAGAGAGAGAGACUAGAUUCCAUUGUAAGACAUGCAGAUGGGUUGGGUCUGGAAGCUACUUUAAACAUGAUAGUAGAGUUGGGUGAGCUGCUUUACUGGUUAAUGCAUCAUAUGAAAGAGGAUAGAUGUUGUGGUAAUUGUUCUCUAAACAACAUGCUGAAAGCAUUGAUGUGAAAGCAUAUACAGUGCUGAGUUAUGUAGGGGUGUGGCAUGUGGCAAUGGGAUGUAGGGGUGUGGCAAUGGAGGAGAAGGGGAACAAGGGGAACAAGGAGAAGGGGAACAAAGUGAAAAUUGACAUGACUUGGGAACACCUCUUGGAACCUGGGGCCGAAAGGGGAAGACUGGGUGAAAGCAUGAGGAAGCUUUUUAGGGCUUUGAUUUUUGUGGAACCCAGCAGAAAGUGUCCUGGAGGCAUAGAGUCAGGGGAAGAGAGAGUGGGAAUUGUCAUGGUCUCAGACUGUGGUUUUCAUGCAUAUAUAAUUAUGCAUAGCUUUUCACAUUGUUAAUACUGUUAUGUUUUGUGUGACUUUUUGUUAAUUUCCAAAUCUUAUGUUAUCACUCUCUCAGGAACCAGAAGGAGAAAGUGGAGAAACAAAAAGCGUUCCAUCUGACAUGGAACAAGACAGCAGAUACAGCUGGAAUGGCAUUUUGUUGUGUGAUGAAAGAUGGAAAUAAAAUUGUGUAUGGUGUGAUCAUAG